rnacentral:rRNA from 1 species
ACGCUCGACACCUACGGGAGUCAGCAGUGGGGAAUAUUGCACAAUGGGGGAAACCCUGAUGCAGCGACGCCGCGUGAGCGAAGAAGUAUCUCGGUAUGUAAAGCUCUAUCAGCAGGGAAGAAGAUGACGGUACCUGACUAAGAAGCACCGGCUAAAUACGUGCAAGCAGCCGGCGGUAAUCUGAGCGGGCUGGCAAGGC